ensembl:lncRNA
CCAGACACUUCCUCCAGCUCUUCCGGGGGGACACCGAGGCGUUCCCAGGCCAGCCGGGAGACAUAGUCCCUCCAGCGUGUCCUAGGUCUUCCCCCGGGUCUCCUCCCGGUGGAAUGGGCCUGGAACACAUUCCCGGGAAGGCAUUCAGAAGGCAUCCGGAACAGAUGCCCAAGCCACCUCAGCUGACCCCUCUCGAUGUGGAGGAGCAGUGGCUCUACUCUGAGGGUGACCAAACUUUUCUCGAAACGAAUAAAGGAAUAGAAGAGCAUCACACGGUUCAUGGUUGGGACCCAUUCUCAGGGUUAUCCUCUAUGGUUGGUCCCUGGGGAAUGACAAUAUACGUUAUAAGUUAGUGACUACUGCCUUAGCCACCAUUGCCCUUUUGUUUCGCUUGUGGUAUAUUUUGUCUUGUUUAAUAAAAAUGUGUGUUUCUAAGUUUGCAACACAGGUAAUGGUCCAAAAGCAUGUAAAUGAGGGGUCAGACAUUUCAGAUAUGUUUCCAUUCACAAAUUACUUGGGAUGAUGAUAUGAUAAAAUAUCAUGUUGUUUAAGAGUGUAGUUAGUAGUAGUUUAACGAAGAGUAGUAUUAGUAGUAGUUUAAAGCUUAAUGAGUUUAUGUUAAAUGAUCUGAGAGUAGAAUUGGUUAAGUUGUAUGUUGACACUACAUUACAUUUAUGAUAUAGGGUGGAUUGUCCGGGAAAUUUCUUGAACUGAUGUGUUCUUAUUGAUUAAGAUUUUGAGUCCCCAUGUUUAGAUAAAAAAAAAUAAUGCAGAUUGUGUUGGGAGAAAGGAAGUAUGAGAUGCUGAGGUAAACGUAAACCUAUAGCAGGAUGGGGGUAGAUACAUAACAAUGGGUUUUAGGACAGGAUAGAGGAAGAUACACAACAGAAGGAAGGAUGGAUAAGGAACAUGCAUUGUUUAUGUGGUAUGACCAUGCAGAUUCUUAUCUCAACCCAUUUCUUCCGCUUCAUCCGGGGCCGGGUCGAGGGGGCAGCAGUCUAAACAGAGAUGCCCAGACUUCCCUCUCCCCAGACACUUCCUCCAGCUCUUCCGGGGGGACACCGAGGCAUUCCCAGGCCAGCCGGGAGACAUAGUCCCUCCAGCGUGUCCUAGGUCUUUGCUUGGUUCUGUGAAUGAUGAACAUGGCUUUGGACAUUGACAGGCUAUUGUAUUCUUUUUUCAACAAUAACAGGUUCUGGGCAACCUCUUCUGAGAAAGACUGG